GAUGAACGCUGGCGGCGUGCUUAACACAUGCAAGUCGAACGGGAAACCUUUUAUUGAAGCUUCGGCAGAUUUAGCUGGUUUCUAGUGGCGGACGGGUGAGUAACGCGUGGGUAACCUGCCUUAUACAGGGGGAUAACAACCAGAAAUGGUUGCUAAUACCGCAUAAGCGCACAGGACCGCAUGGUCCGGUGUGAAAAACUCCGGUGGUAUAAGAUGGACCCGCGUUGGAUUAGCUAGUUGGCAGGGUAACGGCCUACCAAGGCGACGAUCCAUAGCCGGCCUGAGAGGGUGAACGGCCACAUUGGGACUGAGACACGACCCAGACUCCUACGGGAGGCAGCAGUGGGGAAUAUUGCACAAUGGGGGAAACCCUGAUGCAGCGACGCCGCGUGAAGGAAGAAGUAUCUCGGUAUGUAAACUUCUAUCAGCAGGGAAGAUAGUGACGGUACCUGACGAAGAAGCCCCGGCUAACUACGUG
rnacentral:rRNA from 1 species